rnacentral:rRNA from 1 species
CACGUAGGGCGCAAGCGUUGUCCGGAAUUAUUGGGCGGAAAGAGCUCGUAGGCGGUCUGUUACGUCUGCUGUGAAAACCCGGGGCUUAACCCUGGGCUUGCAGUGGAUACGGGCAGACUAGAGGCAGGUAGGGGAGAAUGGAAUUCCCGGUGUAGCGGUGAAAUGCGCAGAUAUCGGGAGGAACACCGGUGGCGAAGGCGGUUCUCUGGGCCUGACCUGACGCUGAGGAGCGAAAGCGUGGGGAGCGAACAGG